rnacentral:rRNA from 1 species
UACGAAGGGGGCUAGCGUUGUUCGGAAUUACUGGGCGUAAAGGGCGCGUAGGCUGUGCUGUAAGUCAGGCGUGAAAGCCCCGGGCUCAACCUGGGAAUUGCGCUUGAUACUGCGGCGCUGGAAGGUGGGAGAGGAUGGCGGAAUUCCCAGUGUAGAGGUGAAAUUCGUAGAUAUUCGGAGGAACACCAGUGGCGAAGGCGGCUCACUGGCUCGGUACUGACGCUGAGGUGCGAAAGCGUGGGGAGCAAACAGG